CAUUUAUUAAAAAGACCAUAAUCAACGCCCUCGAUGGCAUCUUAUGGGUCCGAAUUACAUUAGAUUUGAAUCCGAUUUUCUGUCCAACGCCCUUGAUUAACCGCAAAAAUGGAUAAUCAAGUCUUCUUUUUAUUAUCGAAACAGCGGUAAAAAUGACAAUCGAGGCUACUGUGUAUAUGAAUCAGAUUGAAGCAAUUUCACUAAAAUUUUCGACAUUUGCCAUUAAAAUUAUAAUCCGUUUUUUAUCUAUUAUAUAUUGUCGGCUCUUUAUUUAAUCUUCCAUAAUGUAUUUUGUAUUUUUAAGUCAAACAGUUUCAGGGCAGGUAACCUAACAGGUUACGGGGUAGGUUGUCUGGAAAUUAUUUGUAGCAACCUAGAUGUAUUAAUGAUGAGACCGUCUUUGUAUUUAACCUGUAGGAACUGAGAAAUUCUGAACUGCAGAAGUAUAUGUGUAUAGCAGCUAGAAGUUAGUACUAACAAGAAACAGACCAAAGUGGUACACAUCUCUGCAAUCAGUUCACAAAAUUUAAUCAAAGAUAUUUUGAAAAUAUUGGCAAACUCUGAAACAAGAAAGAUGUCAUUUCAAGAAAGUUUUGUAAUAAUAUGAGGAUGGAUUUGAAUGGAUGUUUCUUUUUUUCAGAUAUUUUGAAAAUAUUGGCAAAUUCUGAAACAAGAAAAAUGUCAUUUCAAGAAAGAUAAACCGACUUGGACGAUUAGGUGGCAGAGAUGUCCUGUCCAUCGUUAACAACAUCAUGAAGAAUCUCAGUGUCACUUAUGUAAAACGCCGUUACAAUUGGACAGGAUAAAAAGGCAAGCGUGAAUUAGGGGCACAUGCUACAGCUACCAUUGUUUUUAAUCCAGUCAGAAGAAAUCCAAUGUUUUGAAACACCACAAACAAGGAAAUCAAAGCUGCAGUUAGUCGUUUGAACUGGUUUCCAGACAAAUUCAAGGGACGGGAUGGUGGGAGAUCUCAACGAAUUUCAACCGUCCUAAUUGAGAAAGCAUAAUAAUAAAACAU